UAUGGUCUUCAAAUUAUAAAUGUAGGUAGGCACAUAGGUCUGGCUGUUGUACUAAUUCAUCCCUCUAAUCUUCACAACGAGCAACCAACAGUUCUUACAGGUAUGCAAUGACUUCCUGAAAAAUAAUUUUGCUUUACGCAGUCUAUUAAUUACAAACUAGCACUAAUAAACUAUAGAAUAGCUUCCAACAAGAAAGGUGAACAAAAGAUUUAGCAGAUACAAACACUACAUUGGUGAACUUAUAUAUUUAUUGAGAAGUACAAUGAAGUUUAAUUGCCAGAUGAUGAGUGCAUGACAAGCAUACCAUGGAGAAGCACAAGUUUUUGCUGGUCACAACCAAUUUACACACAUCGUUUGCAAAAGAUCCUGCUCCAGAAAACUGUCAAAACACUUGAUGGUGCUCCAUUAACUCAUGAUCAGCCUGUCAAAGAAGAAUAGACGACAUCAAAUCAACAGGACGUCCGGUCGAAUUAAUAGCGAAAGAUAGAACACCAAAACUUAAAUGGAUUCAUGCCUCCAACAACCAAAGAGAGAGGCGCCUCUAUUUAUUGUCGUGGUUGGCACUGGUGAGGAGUAGAAGGCCCAACAAGCCUUAUUUAUUCCUUCCUAAUGCCUUGGCCUAUUUACUGCAUGGGGCUUGGAUGGUUAGACUUCAGUUUUUAUUAUGCAUCAGCGCCCCUCACUCCCCCUGCUUCUUCUUUAUGAGAAUUAGAGUUAGGGUGCAAAAGCCAUGAAUGCUCACCCACAAGAAGCAGUUCAUGAUUACAACGUAGUUAAUGGUGUAGGUGUAGAAGUAUGAUGGUCAGACGGUACAAGAGAGAUUUUAAGAUAUGGAGGACUCUGCCUUGUAGGUUUCACUCUAGUGUCCAUCACCAUGAAUUGAGCCAUCAUGUCCAAGGUCACACGCUAGCUAUCCUCACUUCUGUGCUGUUGAAAUCCAGUAGCGCACUAUUGGAGCAAUAGAUGGCCUUUGUGGUUCAACUAACAUGCACCGGUUUUUUAUUUUUCCAUUGGGCAGGAAGUUGCACUAAAUUCUGUGCACUGUUAAUUCCUUGUUCACAGAGAUUGCAUCCAGUGGUAUGAGUGGCAUGGCACUGCAGCUUUUACCACCCCAUGCAAAUGCAUGCUAAUCGAAUAGGCAAAGCCCUGGAGCGAGCAAAAUCUUGAACUGAUAUUAAGCGGAGAAUCCUAAGUAUUCUUUGAACUGCUCUAUCUUCAGGGAGGGGGGUCCGCUUUCCUUAACUCCAAGUCCAGUGCUGUAGUGUUAACUUCUGAACAGAACCACCAACAUCACCUCAGUUACAGGCGUCUGCUGCUGCUGCUGCCGCCUGAGCUGGGCAGCAGCUGCUGAUCUUGCUCGAAUCCUACUACCACCCUACACAACAACUUACAAGGCAAGCAAGGGGCCUUGUAGAUUUUGUGGUGGCUCUCCUGGGCUGGGUGUGGCAUUAUGACGUGUACAGUCCGGGCAUGUAGAGCAGCGCAAGGCCGCCUUAAAUGGGGAGGAGGUGGAGAGAUUUGAGUCAUUUAAGGUCACUCUACUUGUCAUCUUCAAUGCCCGGCCUGCCCUCCCCUUAAUGGGGUUGGAUGAAGGCCAUUUAAGAACCCUUCUUUAGUGUCCACGCCCUCCCCUGCAUGACCCCAUCAAUCAAAAGCCCAUUGUAGAAGAGAAGCAGUCCCCCCUCCCUCCACUGAAUUCUCUUCUCCUCCAUCUCUUAGUACUACAACUAGCUCUCAAGAGCUCACACCCUAGAACUACUUGUGUGUGUAUAUAAGAGCAGGAGCUAGCAUCAUCAGCCAAGAUGACCACUGAAUUCCUUAGAGUGGAGAAGUACCUGAGUGUGAAGAGGAUGGAGCUGCAGCCGGAGCUCUCACUAGGGCCGACGUGGCCGGCGCCAGGCUUCGUCUCCUCCACCACCAAGAGCACCAAGAGC
rnacentral:lncRNA from 1 species